UACGGAGGGUGCAAGCGUUAUCCGGAUUCACUGGGUUUAAAGGGUGCGUAGGCGGACAGGUAAGUCAGUGGUGAAAUCUCUGGGCUUAACUCAGAAACUGCCGUUGAUACUAUUUGUCUUGAAUGUCAUGGAGGUAAGCGGAAUAUGUCAUGUAGCGGUGAAAUGCUUAGAUAUGACAUAGAACACCGAUAGCGAAGGCAGCUUACUACAUGAAGAUUGACGCUGAGGCACGAAGGUCCAGGGAGCAAACGGG
rnacentral:rRNA from 1 species